AAAAGAGGAAGGCUUGGUGAUUCCUGGCAAUGUGUUAUUUUGAGAAAAGGCUUCGGCAGCAAACUCCAGAAAAAAACUUCCCAAACCCUGGGCAACUGAGGUUCUGAUGUGGAGCUCUGGAUGGAAAGCGUGCUGAAGUCUUGUUAAACUAGCAAGCUUUUGUUUGGAGGUCCACCGCCGAAGGCGCACAGGCCUGUGCGAACACGAGCGUUGAGACUAGGGGGGUCUAGAUGAUCCAAGGGCUCGGACCUCAGGCACAUGCGAAUGACCCGGAGUGUGGACAACGUCCAGUUCCUGCCCUUUCUCACCACGGAAGUCAACAACCUGGGCUGGCUGAGUUAUGGGGCUUUGAAGGGAGACGGGAUCCUCAUCGUCGUCAACACAGUGGGUGCUGCGCUUCAGACCCUGUAUAUCUUGGCAUAUCUGCAUUACUGCCCUCGGAAGACUGCAACCCUGCUAGGGGUCCUUCUCCUGGGUUAUGGCUACUUUUGGCUCCUGGUACCCAACCCUGAGGCCCGGCUUCAGCAGUUGGGCCUCUUCUGCAGUGUCUUCACCAUCAGCAUGUACCUCUCACCACUGGCUGACUUGGCUAAGGUGAUUCAAACUAAAUCAACCCAAUGUCUCUCCUACCCACUCACCAUUGCUACCCUUCUCACCUCUGCCUCCUGGUGCCUCUAUGGGUUUCGACUCAGAGAUCCCUAUAUCAUGGUGUCCAACUUUCCAGGAAUCGUCACCAGCUUUAUCCGCUUCUGGCUUUUCUGGAAGUACCCCCAGGAGCAAGACAGGAACUACUGGCUCCUGCAAACCUGAGGCUGCUCAUCUGACCACUGGGCACCUUAGUGCCAACCUGAACCAAAGAGACCUCCUUGUUUCAGCUGGGCCUGCUGUCCAGCUUCCCAGGUGCAGUGGGUUGUGGGAACAAGAGAUGACUUUGAGGAUAAAGGGACCAAAGAAAAAGCUUUACUUAGAUGAUUGAUUGGGGCCUAGGAGA
rnacentral:sRNA from 1 species